AUUGAACGCUGGCGGCAUGCUUUACACAUGCAAGUCGAACGGUAACAGGGAGCUUGCUCCGCUGACGAGUGGCGAACGGGUGAGUAAUGCGUCGGAACGUGCCGAGUAGUGGGGGAUAACGCAUCGAAAGGUGUGCUAAUACCGCAUACGAACUGAGGUUGAAAGUGGGGGACCUUCGGGCCUCACGCUACUCGAGCGGCCGACGUCUGAUUAGCUAGUUGGUGAGGUAAAGGCUCACCAAGGCGACGAUCAGUAGCGGGUCUGAGAGGAGGCUCCGCCACGCUGGGACUGAGACACGGCCCAGACUCCGACGGGAGGCAGCAGUGGGGAAUUUUGGACAAUGGGCGCAAGCCUGAUCCAGCCAUGCCGCGUGUCUGAAGAAGGCCUUCGGGUUGUAAAGGACUUUUGUCCGGGAGCAAAUGCUGGUGGCUAACAUCCACCGGAGCUGAGAGUACCGGAAGAAUAAGCACCGGCUAACUACGUGCCAGCCGCCGCCGUAACAC
rnacentral:rRNA from 1 species